UGCACUUACUAAUGUAAAUCUCUCUGGAUAAGAGCGUCUGCUAAAUUACGUAAA
rfam:Salmo salar isolate Sally breed double haploid chromosome ssa19, whole genome shotgun sequence.